rnacentral:rRNA from 1 species
CCUACGGGUGGCAGCAGUGGGGAAUAUUGGGCAAUGGGCGAAAGCCUGACCCAGCAACGCCGCGUGAAGGAAGAAGGCUUUCGGGUUGUAAACUUCUUUUCUAAGGGAAGAAGAAAGUGAUGGUACCUUAGGAAUAAGCCUCGGCUAACUACGUGCCAGCAGCCGCGGUAAUACGUAGGAGGCAAGCGUUAUCCGGAAUGACUGGGCGUAAAGGGUGCGUAGGUGGUUCAGCAAGUUAGUAGCGUAAUUCCGGAGCUCAACUUCGGCACUACUACUAAAACUGUUGGACUUGAGUGCAGGAGGGGCAACUGGAAUUUCUAGUGUAGCGGUGGAAUGCUUAGAUAUUAGGAAGAACACCGGUGGCGAAGGCGAGUUGCUGGACUGUAACUGACACUGAGGCACGAAAGCGUGGGGAGCAAACAGGAUUAGAUACCCUUGUAGUC